GCCCUUAUAGCUCAGCGGUAGAGCGCGACACUAGUAAUGUCGAGGUCCUAGGUUCGAGUCCUAGUGAGGGCA